UGCGUAGGUGGUGAGGUAAGUCGGAUGUGAAAGCUCGGAGCUCAACUCCGAAAUGGCAUUGGAAACUACCUUGCUCGAGGGUUGGAGGGGGGACUGGAAUGCUUGGUGUAGCAGUGAAAUGCGUAGAUAUCAAGCGGAACACCAGUGGCGAAGGCGAGUCCCUGGACAACUCCUGACACUGAGGCACGAAAGCUGGGAGCAAACA
rnacentral:rRNA from 1 species